UUCGCCUACGGGGGCAGCAGUGAGGAAUAUUGGUCAAUGGGCGAGAGCCUGAACCAGCCAAGUCGCGUGAGGGACGACGGCCCUACGGGUUGUAAACCUCUUUUGCCGGGGGACAAACGGCGGCACGCGUGCCGUCCUGAGGGUACCCGGAGAAAAAGCAUCGGCUAACUCCGUGCCAGCAGCCGCGGUAAUACGGAGGAUGCGAGCGUUAUCCGGAUUUAUUGGGUUUAAAGGGUGCGUAGGCGGGAUGCCAAGUCAGCGGUCAAAUAAGGGGGGUCAAACUGCAUUCGCCGUUGAAAAUGGCG
rnacentral:rRNA from 1 species